UAAGCGGAGGAAAAGAAACUAACCAGGAUUCCCUCAGUAGCUGCGAGCGAACAGGGAAGAGCCCAGCACCGAAUCCCGCGGCCGAUACCGGGCGCCGGGAAAUGUGGUGUUCGGGAGGAUCCGUUUAUCCCGAGGUCGUGCGGCGCGUCCAAGUCCUUCUUGAAUGGGGCCACAGCCCAUAGAGGGUGCCAGGCCCGUAGCGACUGCUGCCGAUCGCGGGAGGAUCCCUCCUCAGAGUCGGGUUGCUUGAGAGUGCAGCCCUAAGUGGGUGGUAAACUCCAUCUAAGGCUAAAUAUGACCACGAGACCGAUAGCGAACAAGUACCGUGAGGGAAAGUUGAAAAGCACUUUGAAGAGAGAGUUCAAGAGUACGUGAAACCGUUCAGGGGUAAACCUGAGAAACCCGACAGGUCGAAAGGGGAAAUUCAUUCGGGUUUUUCGCGUCGUCUGCGCCUUCCACGUUUCGAACCGAUGCCGAACUCGUGCACUUUUCCCCUAGUAGGACGUCGCGAUCCGUUGGGUGUCGGUCCUCGCGGUGGAGCCCGCGCGGACGUUUCGUGCGGACCCGCGAUAUCCCGGCCGACUCGCUCGACGGUAUACAUAUGGCGCGGGGCCGCUACCAAGUUAGCGUUCGGCCCGCGGCAAGCGCGUUCGUGACGAUGAUCGGACCUGGUGCCGGUCUUGUCCCCGAACGACUGUUGGCUGCUCUCGAACAGACCCCGUUGAAACGCCGAUCUGCGACGCUAUAGCUUUGGGUACUUUCAGGACCCGUCUUGAA
rnacentral:rRNA from 1 species